rnacentral:rRNA from 1 species
AUUGAACGCUGGCGGCAGGCCUAACACAUGCAAGUCGAGCGAGCGGCGGACGGGUGAGUAAUGUCUGGGAAACUGCCGGAUGGAGGGGGAUAACUACUGUAAACGGUAGCUAAUACCGCAUACCAUCAGAUGUGCCCAGAUGGGAUUAGCUAGUAGGUGGGGUAACGGCUCACCUAGGCGACGAUCCCUAGCUGGUCUGAGAGGAUGAUCAGCCGAGUGGGAACUGAGCGAGGGUCCAGACACCUACGGGCUGCAGCAGUGGGGAAUAGUGCACAAUGGGCGCAAGCCUGAUGCAGCCAUGCCGCGUGUGUGAAGAAGGCCUUCGGGUUGUAAAGCACUUUGAGCGGGGAGGCGUUACCCGCAGAAGAAGCACCGGCUAACUCCGUGCCAGCCGCCGCGGUAAUAC